rnacentral:rRNA from 1 species
AUGGCCACCUACCUCUCUGAUCUAAUUAGUGACCAUGCCCUCGACUUCUUAGAUUUACAGGAGACCAUGAAGAAAAACAUCUCCUCUAAAUGCUUGAGGAAGAUUGACCCUUUUAAUAUAUUUGAGUGGGUCCGGAUCCCCUCAAAUGGCAAGUCUGGUGGGAUUUUGGCUGGGGCCAGGAAAGGAAUUUUAGAUAUUGUUCAUAGCAAUAAUGGUAGAUAUAUGAUACAACUUGACUUGAAGGAUAUCAAUAAAAAGAGUGCUUGGAGUGUGUUGGUGGUGUAUGGGCCAGCUCAUGAAGAUAAACGGGAGGAGUUCCUGUCUGAACUCGCCCAAUUCUGCUCUACCAUGAAUAAGCCUUACAUUUUGGGAGGUGAUUUUAAUAUCUUGAGAAAUGGGGGAGAGAAGAAUAAGAAGGCCCAUAACCAUAGAUCCAUGGAUAUGUUUAACUCUGUUAUCUAUGCUUUUGGGCUGAGAAGAUUUUUUGCAGUGGUGGCAAGUACACCUAGACCAACAAUCAAUCCCAUCCCACUUUAG